UACAGAGGUCUCAAGCGCUGUUCGGAUUCAUUGGGCGUAAAGGGUGCGUAGGUGGCGGGGUAAGUCAGGUGUGAAAUCUCGGAGCUCAACUCCGAAACUGCACUUGAUACUGCCUUGCUCGAGUACUGGAGAGGAGAUUGGAAUUUACGGUGUAGCAGUGAAAUGCGUAGAUAUCGUAAGGAAGACCAGUGGCGAAGGCGAAUCUCUGGACAGAUUACUGACACUGAGGCACGAAGGCCGGGGGAGCAAACAGG
rnacentral:rRNA from 1 species